GGUCAAAGUUUAGAUCUUUGAAUGAUUUAAGUAACAAAAUAUACAUACCACAGUGAAAAGCCAUAACCUAAACAUAACUAGAAUCAAGAUUAACAAAAAACAUAAUUAACAGUAAUACAUUCACAGUCAUGUCAAACACUAACAACACCUUUCAACACUUCCAAGCCGAACACGACACGAGCUCCCUACGUCGCCAACAUAGCACGAGCAGCGAUUGUCUCUUCUCGACAUAAAACUCGCGAACCGGAGUCCUUUUGACCAAACAUUCCGCUUGACUUUCAGUAAAGUUACUAAACAACAAUGGCGAAAAUCCAGCUGAUACGAAAAGAUCCCGCCAAUGCUGAGUCUUUUCGGGGAAAAGAAACCGACCCAAAACAAUCUUUUCAACCGCGGGUUGAACUAAAAACCGCUCGAUCUUCUGCAACGAGUCAAGGUUCAUGUUGACCGCAUCUAAUGACUCGAGUAAAUUCGAAUAUGACUUUAGGGCCUGGAUCAGAUGAUUAGCAAACGGUAAAUCGGUCCUAUCACACCCACGGUCAACCGAAACCACAAUUUUAGGCGAUAAACGUUUAACGAAUCGUAAAACGGCUGGAAUCUGAGUUUGGUAAUUCGAAAACACAUGAACCGGAAGAUUCACUGCAACGGCUUCAUUAUCAUUAUCCGAAACAUUAAAGGGUAAACACCAUGAAGCAGAAGCAAGAGCAUCAAUGCUGACUAUCUCAAACUCAAACCCGACGUUCAAUUCGCUAGCAAAAUGGAUCAAACUCUCUCGGGUCAGCCCGAGUUCGAGCUGGUCAUGAGUUAAAGGCGAAACCAACGCAGUGAUCUUCAAGAAACACACACCAUUGUUUCUCAAACCAAGCUCUUGAAUCAAAGAAGCCCAUUGACCACCAAACCCAAUAUCGAAAUCGAUAACAUGAACCCGAUCAAACCCGAUAAGGGAUUCAAGAAUUGCUUGAUUACAAGUGAAAUUAGCAAACUGAAUAUAUGGGGAAACCUCUGAUAACAGUUUAUAACCACUAAUCUUGUAAAUUAAACUAAAGGGUGAAUCAACAGGGGUAAUUUGGGGAUUAAUAUUAAUAUUAUUGAGGAUUGAAUGUGUGAGUAAUUGAAGAGCUUGUUUGAAAUAAAAAGCAGCCCUUUCGAAAGAAUUACCGGCUGGUGAAAGCUGAUGAUUGAGCCGCGCCAAUAUCCCUUGCGCGAGUAUCGGAUUAUUGUUCCCCGACUGGAUCAAAUCCGCGGCUUUGAAAAGCUGAUCAAUGAUCCCUUGUUGCUGCAUUGAAGGGUUGUACUCUAUGCUUCUUGAGUUGUACGUUUUGGGUUGCGGUGGAAUGAGCAUCUGGGUGUUGUAAAGAUUUGGUUUUUUAUCAUAUUGGGGCAAAAGGGUGUCGUUUAAUGGUGAAAAGUAUUGAUUUUGGUGGUGAUGCAUAAGGUACAACAAGCUCUUGUUGGUGGUUGUUCCACACCACCACCCCCUUCCCCUCAAACUCAAACUUCUCCAGCUUGAAACAAAAACUUGUAGAGAAUGAGAACAAAAACCGAUUUUGAAAGUUAAAGGUUUAAGAAAUGCAUGUGAAGGGUUUGAAGAAGAAGAAGAACAUGUAAGAUUUUGUAAGUUUUGUUUUUUGGUAGCUUGUGAUAUGAUGAUGUGUUUUUAUGUUUGGUUUGUGUUUUGUGUGUGUAAAAUAGUGUUUUUUUUGGCUCC
rnacentral:lncRNA from 1 species